rnacentral:rRNA from 1 species
UGGGGAAUUUUGCACAAUGGGGGAAACCCUGAUGCAGCGACGCCGCGUGAUUUAGAAGGCCUUCGGGUUGUAAAAAUCUUUUCUAUGGGAAGAAAAUGACAGUACCAUAGGAAUAAGGACCGGCUAAUUACGUGCCAGCAGCCGCGGUAAUACGUAAGGUCCGAGCGUUGUCCGGAAUCAUUGGGCGUAAAGGGUACGUAGGCGGGUAAGCAAGUUAGAAGUGAAAUCCUAUAGCUCAACCAUAGUAAGCUUUUAAAACUGCUCAUUUUUGAGUAUGGAAGGGAAAGUGGAAUUCCUAGUGUAGCGGUGAAAUGCGCAGAUAUUAGGAGGAAUACCGGUGGCGAAGGCGACUUUCUGGCCAUAACCUGACGCUGAGGUACGAAAGCGUGGGUAGCAAACAGG